GCCAUAAGGGAAGAUAAUGAGGGGAGAGGUGGAGUGGUCAGGUGAGGGGAGAUCAAGGGAAGAGCAGGGGUGGCCAUAAGGGAAGAUCAUGAAGGGAGUGGUGGGGAAGUUGUGAGGGGAGAUUGUGAAGUGAGAGCAGGGGCAGCCAUGGGCCAUACGGGAUGGCCAUGAGGGGAGAUCUUGAUGGGAGGUGGGGGGUGGCCAUAAGGGGUAGGGGUGGCAGCUAUAUUGUCUGGACCACUACGAGAGGGCAGAUGAGGGAUGGCUGUCACCGGAGAUCAUGAGAGGCAGCCAUGAGGAGAGAUCAUUCUGCCCUUUGUGACAUGGCUUAGUGGUGGGCUUCAUAGUCCUGAGGUAACAGUUGGCCUCAAUGAUCUUAAAGGUCUUUUCCAACUUGGUUGAUUCUAUGAUUCUAUAAACCAGAACCAGUCAAGAGCCAGAUCUGGAUGCCACAUGGUCACCCUAUCCCACACUCACCUCUGCUGCAUUCCAACCCUCCAUUGCUGUCUUAUCCCCCCCUGCAGCAACCUGAAUGAAUCAUAAAGUCUGCUGAUGUUCCACAACCGCAGAUUUCUACCUUCAUCAGUGUCUAAAGACUUAAUUACUUUGGACUUGGAAAUCCUUCAUGACGUAGAUACCAUUAGUCAAAUUUAAAAGAACAGUAAAUGCAGUCACAGAAGAGGGGAGUACCCAGAAAAAGACUGAAAUGAAUCCUCAGCUUCUGGACAUACUAGGAAAUACCUUGCUCUUGACAAUAUAUGGGAUGCCACCAAUACAGAAUUCACAGAGGUCAUAGGACUGGAAUUCAGCAGCGCAAAAGAUCACAGUUGCAAGCAGAAGGUCUCCAUAGGAGUUGCAGGAGACUCCUCCAGCAUGUGUUUUCACAAACCAGGAACACUAAAUCCUCUUCCACAGUGAAAGGAUAUAGAAACACUGAGAGAUGCACGGAAUGUUUAAUGAUGCAUGUGGCGUGCAAGAGAAACUGUAAUUUACUGGGAAAGGCACUUGAGGAAAGAUUGCUCAAGCGACACAUUGCAGCUCCUCUUUCAAGAAUAAAAAGAACAAAUUGGGAGUUUGAAGCCAGAAGGGAACACCUGAAGUGGAGCAAAGGUGAAGGGGAGUGAGUGAGGAGAGAAGGGAGCACACACCUGAAUGCAGAGACAUAAGGUCAGUGCUGUCUCAGAGCUGGCAUGGCCAAAAAGUUAAAGCAAGAGGCUGGGGAAAAGCCAGGGACAGAGCUAUGUCCCAGCAGCACACAGCCUGUUUUAGCAGGAAAGGCAAUGCUGCAGCAUUCCCUCUUCCUGGGCUGACACAUCUAUGUACAUUUCCAGUGCCCAGGAAUGGCAGUUUGCCAGCAUCAAGAUGAGAAAUGGAGGAGAGCCUCCCCAUAUGUUAAGGCUGGUAAGGAGGAGAAAGCAUAUCAGAAGCUGGGAAGCAGAAGUAUGUGUAGGGUCACCCUUAACCUCCUAAAUGUAGAAGUUUUUUCCCAUUUAUUCACUGUUUUCUGCAUUCCUAAUUAUCUUCCACACCUUCCACACUCAGGUACUUGAGAGUGCAUAAAUCAUCACUUAACAUACAGUGUAAAAGUUUCCCAUACAUUAGUCCAUAUGUUGACUGAAUUUCACAAGUUUCUUGUGGUAUAUAUACCAGUCUUGUAUAUUGUACCAAACUGGAAACUGUGUCGAACUGCUUGACCAUUAUAACCUUUGUGGAGACAAUGGUUUUCUGAACACAGCUCCUUCUCUCCAGUUCACUUUAUCUCCUUUUUUUCCUGGAGGAACACAUUUAUACUGGGCCAUAUUGACUCCAAAGGACCACACUAAACCCAGACUGAAGUAAAAUCUUUAAAUUAAAAUCCUUAAAUUGCAGGACUGGUGCCCUGCAGAUGUAAGGCAGGGCACCAAUCAACUCCUUCAACCUACUGAUCUGCUUCUUGUGCACUUUCAGCAACUGAAUACAGGACCAUGAUCUCCAUUCUGGAUGACUGGUGAACUGAUAUCAGAUUUGCCAAGUCAUAUUGUUCACUUCUAUGAAUCAUGAAAAUACAUUCGUGCUCUUCCAAUACCACCCACCACUAGACUAGAUGCUUUCUUAGUUUAUUCUUGGGGUUCCUUAAAACAU